rnacentral:rRNA from 1 species
CGCAUCUGUGCAUGCAGCAUAUCAAUAAGCGGAGGAAAAGAAACUAACAAGGAUUCCCUUAGUAACGGCGAGUGAAGCGGGAAGAGCUCAAAUUUGAAAUCUUCAAGGUUUUACCUUGACGAAUUGUAGUUUAAAGAAGUGUUUUCUGCUGAAGUUUUGGUAAAAGUUCUUUGGAAUAGGACAUCAUAGAGGGUGAGAAUCCCGUAUUUGACCAUUAUUUUCAGCUUUGUGAUACACUUUCAAAGAGUCGGAUUGUUUGGGAAUGCAGUCCAAAAUGGGUGGUAAAUUUCAUCUAAAGCUAAAUAUUGGCGAGAGACCGAUAGCGAACAAGUACCGUGAGGGAAAGAUGAAAAGAACUUUGAAAAGAGAGUUAAACAGUACGUGAAAUUGUCAAAAGGGAAGCGUUUGACACCAGUGUUGUUUUUCCGAAAAUCAAUUACGAAUGGCUUGAUUUUGUGUUGUAUUGACCUUAUCAGCUUUCUUCACUUUUUUCGAGUCUUUCUUAAUGCACUUUUCGGUUAACAAGUCAACAUCAAUUUCUUUUGUUGUAAAAGGGUCAUUGGAAGGUGGCUUUCUUUUCGGAGAAAGUGUUUAUAGCCUUUGACUCCUGCAAUCGGAGAGACUGAGGUCUGCAGCGUAGAUCCUUCGGGGUUAGAUACAUUUGUGCUAAGUUAUAGCUUUUUAUAGACAACUUGUUGACUAUGAUUAGUCUUGUAGCUUACUCGCUUAUGCUAUUUUACCUACGCUUAGGAUGUUGAAGAUAUGCGCGACACG